rnacentral:rRNA from 1 species
UACAGAGGUCCCAAGCGUUGUUCGGAUUCACUGGGCGUAAAGGGUGCGUAGGCGGUCGGGUAAGUCUGAUGUGAAAUCUCACAGCUUAACUGUGAAACUGCAUUGGAUACUAUCCGGCUCGAGGAAUGGAGGGGAGACUGGAAUACUUGGUGUAGCAGUGAAAUGCGUAGAUAUCAAGUGGAACACCAGUGGCGAAGGCGAGUCUCUGGACAUUUCCUGACGCUGAGGCACGAAAGCGUGGGGAGCAAACAGG